rnacentral:rRNA from 1 species
CACACCGCCCGUCACUCCAUGGAAGCUGGUUUUGCCUGAAAAGGAUGAGCUAACCGCAAGGAGGCAGUUCUUAAUGGCAGUACCGGUGACUGGGGAG